rnacentral:rRNA from 1 species
CUACGGGGUGCAGCAGUGGGGAAUAUUGGACAAUGGGGGAAACCCUGAUCCAGCAAUGCCGCGUGUGUGAAGAAGGCCUGCGGGUUGUAAAGCACUUUCGGUUGGGAGGACUGCUUCUAGCACUAAUAUUGUUGGAAGUUGACGUUACCUUCAGAAGAAGCACCGGCUAACUCCGUGCCAGCAGCCGCGGUAAUACGGAGGGUGCAAGAGUUAAUCGGAAUUACUGGGCGUAAAGCGCGCGUAGGCGGCUAGAUCAGUCGGGUGUGAAAGCCCCGGGCUUAACCUGGGAACUGCAUCCGAUACUGUCUAACUUGAGUACAGGAGAGGAGAGUGGAAUUCCACAUGUAGCGGUGAAAUGCGUAGAUAUGUGGAGGAACACCAAUGGCGAAGGCAGCUCUCUGGCCUGAUACUGACGCUGAGGUGCGAAAGCGUGGGGAGCAAACCGGAUUAGAUACCCCCGUAGUC